CCUACGGGAGGCUGCAGUGAGGAAUAUUGGUCAAUGGACGGAAGUCUGAACCAGCCAUGCCGCGUGCAGGAAGACGGCUCUAUGAGUUGUAAACUGCUUUUGUACAAGGGUAAACCUGAAUACGUGUAUUCAGCUGAAAGUACUGUACGAAUAAGGAUCGGCUAACUCCGUGCCAGCAGCCGCGGUAAUACGGAGGAUCCAAGCGUUAUCCGGAUUUAUUGGGUUUAAAGGGUGCGUAGGCGGAUUGAUAAGUGAGAGGUGAAAUGUCCGCGCUUAACUCGGGAACUGCCUCUAAUACUGUUGAGCUAGAGAGUAGAUGCGGUAGGCGGAAUGUAUGGUGUAGCGGUGAAAUGCUUAGAGAUCAUACAGAACACCGAUGGCGAAGGCAGCCUACCAAUCUAUAUCUGACGUUGAGGCACGAAAGCGUGGGGAGCAAACAGGAUUAGAUACCCGAGUAGUC
rnacentral:rRNA from 1 species